rnacentral:rRNA from 1 species
UAGCGAAGCUCUUGAUCGAAGCCCGAGUAAACGGCGGCCGUAACUAUAACGGUCCUAAGGUAGCGAAAUUCCUUGUCGGUUAAAUACCGACCUGCAUGAAUGGCGUAACGAGAUGGGAGCUGUCUCAAAGAGGGAUCCAGUGAAAUUGUAGUGGAGGUGAAAAUUCCUCCUACCCGCGGCAAGACGGUAAGACCCCGUGGACCUUUACUACAGCUUGACACUGCUAUUUGGAUAAGAAUGUGCAGGAUAGGUGGGAGGCUUUGAGUAUAUGACGCCAGUUGUAUAGGAGCCAUUGUUGAGAUACCACUCUUUCUUAUUUGGGUAGCUAACCAGCUUGAGUUAUCCUCAAGUGGGACAAUGUCUGGUGGGUAGUUUGACUGGGGCGGUCGCCUCCCAAAUAAUAACGGAGGCUUACAAAGGUUGGCUCAGAACGGUUGGAAAUCG